rfam:Triticum aestivum genome assembly, contig: Triticum_aestivum_CS42_TGACv1_scaffold_073658_1DL
UAUGUACUCCCUCCGUUCAGAAUUACUUGUCUCAGAAAUGGAUGUAUCUAGAACUAAAAUACAUCUAGAUACAUCCAUUUCUGCGACAAGUAAUUCCGAACGGAGGGAGUACAUC